rnacentral:rRNA from 1 species
GAUAAACGCUGGCGGCGUGCCUUACGCAUGCAAGUCGAACGGCGCCAGUGCUCCCGCGCAAGCGGGAUGCUGGUGCAGUGGCGGACGGGUGAGUAACACGUACGUGACCUGACCCAGGGUGGGGAUACCGGUCCGAAAGGGCCGCUAAUACCGCAUGUGGCUGGCCGGGGGUGCCCGGCAGGCGAAAGGGCGGCGCAAGCCGCCCGCCAGGGGAGGGGCGUGCGGCCGAUUAGCUGGCUGGUGGGUAAUGGCCUACCAGGGCUGUGAUCGGUAGCUGGGCUGGAGAGGCCGGACAGCCACACUGGGACUGAGACACGGCCC